rnacentral:rRNA from 1 species
AACGAACGCUGGCGGCGUGCCUAACACAUGCAAGUCGAACGUGAUUGAGAGCUUGCUCUCAUGAAAGUGGCGCACGGGUGAGUAACGCGUAGAUAAUCUACCUGGUGAUCCGGGAUAACACCUCGAAAGGGGUGCUAAUACCUGAUAAGCCCACGGGGUCUUCCGACUCUGCGGGAAAAGGGGGGGACCUUUAGGCCUUCCGUCAUCAGACGAGUCUUCGUACCAUUAGCUAGUUGGUAGGGUAAAGGCCUACCAAGGCGACGAUGGUUAGCUGGUCUGAGGGGAUGAUCAGCCACACUGGAACUGAGACACGGUCCAGACUCCUACGGGAGGCAGCAGUGGGGAAUUUUGCGCAAUGGGGGAAACCCUGACGCAGCAACGCCGCGUGAGUGAUGAAGGCCCUUGGGUCGUAAAGCUCUGACAGAGGGAAAGAAGUGCAGGGGAGCUAAUAUCUCCUUUGCUUGACGGUACCCUCAAAGGAAGCACCGGCUAACUCCGUGCCAGCCGCCGCAGUAAGAC